rnacentral:rRNA from 1 species
AACGAACGCUGGCGGCGUGCCUAACACAUGCAAGUCGUACGAGAAAUUCCACUUCGGUGGAAGAGUAAAGUGGCGCACGGGUGAGUAACGCGUGGGUAAUUUGCCCUAGAGACCGGGAUAACUCUGCGAAAGCGGGGCUAAUACCGGAUAAGACCACAGCCCGUUCGCGGGAAGUGGUAAAAGCUGGCCUCUACAUGUAAGCUAGUACUCAAGGAUAAGCCCGCGUACCAUUAGCUUGUUGGUAGGGUAACGGCCUACCAAGGCGACGAUGGUUAGCUGGUCUGAGAGGACGAUCAGCCACACUGGAACUGAGACACGGUCCAGACUCCUACGGGAGGCAGCAGUGGGGAAUCUUGCGCAAUGGGGGAAACCCUGACGCAGCAACGCCGCGUGAGUGAUGAAGGCUUUCGGGUCGUAAAGCUCUGUCAGGUGGGAAGAACGAUCUUGGUGAUAAUACCACCAAGGGUUGACGGUACCACCAGAGGAAGCACCGGCUAACUCCGUG